UGUCGUAUAGGACCUUGUUCUUUUUCCGUGCCGUGUUCAUCACCCGCACUUUAUCUCUUAAGUUCAAGAACUUUGCAAUUAAUGGUCUGGUAGCUGACGUGGGGUUCGUUGAACUGAGUUGAGUUAUGCAAUAUGCGAUGCGCUCGCUCGAUCCGCACCAGAGUAGGAAAGUACUCAUUCCCAAGGACGUCUGGGAGCCAAUUCUCCAAGAAAGUUUCAGCAUCGUCACCCUCCACAUUUUCUGGAAGACCGAUUAUGAGUAUAUUAGAACGACGUGAACGGUUCUCCAGGUCAUCGUUCUUCUCAACAGAUCAUGCAGGAAGUAACCUCACAGUGAAAGAAAGCAUGGAUACUCACAUGACUUGGCACAUCAUCUCAUUGUCAGAGUUCUCAUCAAUCAGUUGUUGCCGUCUUCACAAGCCAAGAGAGAGAGAGACACGCACAGGCUUCAGCUUCUAGAAUUCUCCUCAGGAACCGAGACCUACCCCGCCCUCAUCAGCCUCUUUCACACAGCAGCUGCUGAACUAGUAAUCCUGCAGGAGUUGCCAUUGCUCCCCAUGUUGUUGAUGGAUUGUAUGGAAUAUUUGUUAUGCACUAGCAAAUCUUCUGAAUGUCAUAUAGCUUAUUUAACAUCUAAAAUGCUUGAUCACUCACUUGAACAAUUUAUGUUUCAAAGUUUUAUAAUUGUUGUGAA